rnacentral:rRNA from 1 species
AUUGAACGCUGGCGGAAUGCUUUACACAUGCAAGUCGAGCGGCAGCGCGGCCUUCGGGCUGGCGGCGAGCGGCGAACGGGUGAGUAAUGCAUCGGAACAUGCCCAGUCGUGGGGGAUAACACUUCGAAAGAAGUGCUAAUACCGCAUACGUCCUGAGGGGGAAAGCGGGGGAUCGCAAGACCUCGCGCGAUUGGAGUGGCCGAUGUCAGAUUAGCUAGUUGGUGGGGUAAAGGCCUACCAAGGCGACGAUCUGUAGCUGGUCUGAGAGGAUGAUCAGCCACACUGGAACUGAGACACGGCCCAGACUCCUACGGGAGGCAGCAGUGGGGAAUUUUGGACAAUGGGGGCAACCCUGAUCCAGCCAUUCCGCGUGAGUGAAGAAGGCCUUCGGGUUGUAAAGCUCUUUUGGCAGGAAAGAAACGGUGGGCUCUAACAUAGUCCGCUAAUGACGGUACCUGAAGAAGAAGCACCGGCUAACUACGUG